AACGAACGCUGGCGGCAGGCUUAACACAUGCAAGUCGAACGCCCCGCAAGGGGAGUGGCAGACGGGUGAGUAACGCGUGGGAACGUACCUUUCGCUUCGGAAUAUUCCCGGGAAACUGGGAGCAAUGCCGAAUACGCCGUAUUGGGAAAGAUUUAUCGGCGAAAGAUCGGCCCGCGUUAGAUUAGGUAGUUGGCGGUGUAAUGGACCACCAAGCCUACGAUCUAUAGCUGGUCUGAGAGGAUGAUCAGCCACACUGGGACUGAGACACGGCCCAGACUCCUACGGGAGGCAGCAGUGGGGAAUCUUGGACAAUGGGCGCAAGCCUGAUCCAGCCAUGCCGCGUGAGUGAAGAAGGCCUUAGGGUUGUAAAACUCUUUCGCCGGAGAAGAUAAUGACGGUAUCCGGAGAAGAAGCCCCGGCUAACUUCGUGCCAGCAGCCGCCGUAAUAC
rnacentral:rRNA from 1 species